rnacentral:ncRNA from 2 species
CACCUGCCGAAUCAACUAGCCC